rnacentral:lncRNA from 1 species
GGAGCUUGCCACUUUGUGAAUCUGACACGUAUCCCUCUGGCUCUCGAGUCUCAAGACUGUUCACUUGGUUCUCUGCAGAGACAAGGACGCCAUGCGACUCGUCACUCGCAGAAGUCAGCGAGACUUCGGGGAAUGCGCCGUCCGUGGUAGUUUUUCUCGGCGCCGCGUGACCUCUGUGGAUGUCGUUCUCUGGGGCUUCCGGGGGACGUUGCUGCUUGAAAUCAACUUCGUCGCUGAUUUUGUCCGCAAGAGAUUCUUCACCACUGCUUGCGAAACCAAUGCCCAUGCCAUCUGCUCCUGCGUGCGAUAGAGCCGACCCCUCUCGAUGGCCUUUCAUCUCCGCUGCGCCUUGGAGAGCUGCAUUGGUUUCGUCCUCUUCUUCGUCCAUCGCUGUCUCCCCUGCCCGCACACUGCUCUUCUCUACCAGCGGCAAAGGUGAGGGAAGUUUGCACUCUGGCACUCCUGUGGGUUCCACGGCAAGAGCCCCUCCAGAGACGGAUGCACUUUUCGGGGACUGAGCAGAGUCCUUACCAAAAGAGAAACCUGUAUCCUUGCGAAGGGGGGACAUCCCGUCUUGGACGAAGUUCGCUGGGUCGUCCAGAAGCGAGGCAGAACGUGACAAAGACACAGGAGAGAAAGAGCCCUUAGACGAAAAGUGGUAGGAGGAAAUGGUAGAACAAGAUGACUGAGGACGGAAGAGGGGAAUGCAACAGUCUGCUCCAUCUGCACCGGACCCAGACCUACACGAGAGAGUCGGAGACUGUUUCUUCGGACUGACUGUCGCGGGACAGGAAGAGGAGAGGGAGAUCGACGGGGAAUCGCAACCUGUGGUCGCAGCCCCGGUGCAGGGGCGAGUCGCCCCCAUAGAGAAGCCAGCAUCUGAUCCCACCAAAGUGUCGUGCGCCUCAACCGCGGGAAGCUCUGAGAACGGCAACUCUUGUUCCAUGGGACCUUCCUUGACGUUUGUCCCGCACAGGGGACCGGCGUCACCCUCUGCAUGCACCCCUCCACACCACGUGGAUUCACUCAUUUUGCCUUCAGCAGCUACACGAGCCUCAUCUGCACUUUCUGCACCUAGCUGAUAAGCUGAAAAAUCUUCAGUCACAGCCAGAUCAGGAAAAGCGGAACUUCGGGAAGUUGUUUCGCCCAACGCCUUCCCUUCCGCUUGAUUCAAGAGUUCACUUUCGAUACUGCCUCUCACGGCAGUGACAAAUUCUUUUUCCGACAGAGACAUCAUGACGACUGCUACGUUUGUGCGUUUGACGGACGCCUCCUGCCGCGCCUGCGCCGACAGCUACGGCUGCACAGGUUGCAGGCGACAGACUGAGAGCUUCUGCUGCAAGUGUCGCAUGUGGGAAUGACGGUAGCUGGCCAGAGGGG